UAGAUUGAAGCUCGCUGGUUUGAGCGCCUAGCUGUUAACUAGGAGUAUAUGGGAUCGAGGCCCAUUAAUCUAG
rnacentral:tRNA from 1 species